AACGAAGCACAGAUGUAGAAUUUCUUCGGAACUGAAGCGCCUGUGACUGAGUGGCGGACGGGUGAGUAACGCGUGGGCAACCUGCCCCAUACCGGGGGACAACAGCUGGAAACGGCUGCUAAUACCGCAUACGUUUUCGGUGCCGCAUGGCGCCGAAAAGAAAACUCCGGUGGUAUGGGAUGGGCCCGCGUCUGAUUAGCUAGUUGGGAGGGUAACGGCCUACCAAGGCGACGAUCAGUAGCCGGCCUGAGAGGGCGACCGGCCACAUUGGGACUGACACACGGCCCAAACUCCUGCGGGAGGCAGCAGUGGGGAAUAUUGCACAAUUGGGGAAACCCUGAUGCAGCGACGCCGCGUGAGCGAAGAAGUGCCUCCGUAUAUAAAGCUCUAUCAGCAGGGAAGAAAGUAAAAAUACCUGACUAUGAAGCCCCGGCUAAGUACGAAACAGCAGCCGCGGUAAUACGUAGGGGGCAAGCGUUAUCCGGAUUCACUGGGCGUAAAGGGAGCGCAGGCGGCGCGGCAAGUCUGAUGUGAAAGCCCGGGGCUCAACCCCGGGUCUGCAUUGGAAACUGUCGAGCUGGAGUGUCGGAGGGGUAAGCGGAAUUCCUAGUGUAGCGGUGAAAUGCGU
rnacentral:rRNA from 1 species